rnacentral:rRNA from 1 species
CCUACGGGGGGCUGCAGCGGGGAAUAUUGCACCAUGGGCGCAAGCCUGAUGCAGCCAUGCCGCGUGUGUGAAGAAGGCCUUCGGGUUGUAAAGCACUUUCAGCGGGGAGGAAGGCGGUGAGGUUAAUAACCUCAUCGAUUGACGUUACCCGCAGAAGAAGCACCGGCUAACUCCGUGCCAGCAGCCGCGGUAAUACGGAGGGUGCAAGCGUUAAUCGGAAUUACUGGGCGUAAAGCGCACGCAGGCGGUCUGUCAAGUCGGAUGUGAAAUCCCCGGGCUCAACCUGGGAACUGCAUUCGAAACUGGCAGGCUAGAGUCUUGUAGAGGGGGGUAGAAUUCCAGGUGUAGCGGUGAAAUGCGUAGAGAUCUGGAGGAAUACCGGUGGCGAAGGCGGCCCCCUGGACAAAGACUGACGCUCAGGUGCGAAAGCGUGGGGAGCAAACAGGAUUAGAUACCCGAGUAGUC